GGUUAAGUGACUAAGCGUACACGGUGGAUGCCUUGGCAGUUGGAGGCGAUGAAGGACGUAUUAACUUGCGAUAAGCCUAGUCAAGCUAGUAAAAAGCGCUUGAGGCUAGGAUUUCCGAAUGGGGAAACCCACCUGCUUGCAGGUAUCUUGCACUGAAUACAUAGGUGUAAGAGGCGAACGCGGAGAACUGAAACAUCUAAGUACCCGUAGGAACAGAAAUCAACCGAGAUUCCGGAAGUAGCGGCGAGCGAAACCGGACCAGCCCUUAAGCUUAUUAUGUGUUAGUGGAACAUUCUGGAAAGUUUGACGAUACAGGGUGAUAGUCCCGUACACGAAAA
rnacentral:rRNA from 1 species